ensembl:snRNA U4 U4 spliceosomal RNA
GCGUUUGCGCAGUGGCAGUAUCGUAGCCAGUGAGGUUGAUCCGAGGCGCGAUUACUGCUAAUUGAAAAGACUGCUUUCUGUGAAAGCACUACGGAGAGGAAACUGACCGAAGGCAAGUUUAGAAGACCAGGUGG